GAACACAGUGCCUGGUUAGGCCUUGCUCUAUUAUAAGAAAAAGUACACAUGACAACAAAAAUCAGCAGCCAGCCUAUAGAGCCAGUAUAGGGGACCAGAACCAGCCUGAGAGGAAGCACAGAGCCAAAUGAACUGGAAAAGCGGGAAGCAGAUUCCCAAUUCACAUGGGCUCAGCCCUCUUCAGGGAGCCAAGAUGGACUAGCCAGAGCUCCAACUUGUGCAAAAUCCACAAGAAAGACUCUGAUGUACAGCUACAAGAACUUACAUCAAGGAACUUCUCGGAUUUGGGCAAUACUCUUGGCCACUCCUUCCUAGUCUGUGGUCACCUUAGUCAGGCUGUACAUAGUCGUUCUCAUUUCCUGAAGAGACAGCUGCAAAUAGAUUUAGGACCUCAGGGUACAGGGUCUUGAGUUUCCACAGAGAAACAUGAAUGUAUGGAGUAUCUUCAGGAGUGUCUUUAUGACUGAAGCAACGCCUGCCACAAAGACCCUCAGGAAAAGUAUCUGGAACAUGGAGAGGUCCAAAGAAGACUGAUGAGCAAGGCCAACAGUCUACAAAGGAAUGAGCCUGUGUGUGCAGGGGGAGAGGCAGAAAGGGGAGGGGAAAAGAGACUGAAGUGGCAGAUAUCGCUAGACCUCAGCCUCAUCCCAUCAUGUUGGCCUGCCUCCAAAGAAUCUAGGGACAACUGGCCUCUAGUGAGGCUUAGAAGACGCUGAUCCAGCUUCCUCACUAUCUCACUUGAAUCAUAAAUCAUUACACAUACCAGACUUUGCCCUGAUCUGCCUCUUAACCUCACCCAUCACUUGUUAGUGCUUGCUGGCUUGCUUCAAGCCCUUUCUCACAGGGCCUCUAUCCCUCUGACUCCCUCUGUCUGUAAAGCUCUUCCCUCAAUGUCUCAAGACUGACUGCUUCUCCAUCAGGUCUUUGGCUAACUGUAGGGCUCCCUACCAAAGAUUUAAGAACGCCCAACACUAUCCGUGUUCAGUUUUUUCCCCCGUAAUACUUAUCACAGUUAACUUUUUGUCAGUCUCGAGCUCCUCUUAGAGUAACAAUACUGCAGGUGAGUUGCCAAAAGGAGACAUUUACCAAAGUCUUGAGACAUUUUUGUCGUAACAAAACAGGGCUGUGGGUAUUACUACCAUUCAGGGAACAAACCCAGAAAUGCUGCUAAACUGCGUACAAUGCAUAGGACCCUAGAGGCAGAAUGAUCUGUCUCAAAACCGCGUACCAGAUGAGCUUAUCAGUUUGGAAUCCAGUUCUCCGCCGACUCUCCAGAGCCUAGGAUACUGCUUGCCACAGGCAGCGCUCAAAAAACGUAGGAGUGCAGAGAGAACGAAAUAGAGAGCGAAGGGAAGGAGUGACAGACGGAUCUACUGAGAGUCAGGAGGACUUACAGAGGCUGAGACCCCAGCUGUCUCAGUCCCGCCCCCCAGACUAGGCCCACGACCGCUCGCGACGCUCCCGUAACCAGCUCGCGCCCCACCACACUCCCCAGAAGAAGGAGCCCCAGGUCCGGUGCUCCGCGCGCUCACUCACCCGCCCGAAGCCGCCUGGGAGCAGCGGCUACACCCUCCGGCAUCAUCUUGCCCCUCUCGGCCCGCGGCCGGGAAAGGUACAGGAUACAGGAGCCGGAAGUCCUGGGGCGCUGUGCAUGUCGGAACUUGUAGUUCACGGAAUUCAGGAACUCUGGGGGCUGCUUCACGCUUUGCGCUUCCUAAACUACGACUUCCGGCGACCUCUACACUGAAGGACCAGAUUGGUGGCUUCAGAAUCACUCUAUAUUUCAGGUCGGAAUUUGAUUGGCUAACUGGGCUCGUCACUCAUGGACUCAAAUGGCUCUACAACCGGGAGGAUAUUCGCGCUACCCAAGAUACCGCCUCCAAAACAAAAUCCACGAUACAAUUGGUGGAAGCUGCAGGAUAGCUUGUGGAGCAUAUCAGCAGUGGAAGAAGGCGGGCACUUCCUCAGAGAUGGCCCAAUCACAUAAGGGGCAGUUCUAUAAACGCUUGAGCCCCGAGAGCAGGCGUUCUUUCCGGGAGAGAGUGUACGCACUUUCUGUCGCCCUUGUUUUGUAAGGAACGCUUUCUGAGUAGUGGCCGCCGAAUGGAAUUCUCAACUGCGUGUUCAAGUUCCUCUAUAGCUGAAGGGCUUUCGUCCUAAGGAUUUAUCCCUUUCCCAUUUAUCUUCUUACUCCCGUUUUGCAGAGCUUGUUGAAUCAGCUGCAUCUAGAGACCCAACGAGUGUUGGCUGGUAAGCUGGGCAUCUGUGUAUCUGAGUUUUUUAGCAAUAAAGCGAAAGUGUAACCUUG